ensembl:lncRNA
ACAUGGAGCUGUAACACUGAGAGUUGUGAUGCACCGAGGGCUUUAACGUCGGUCACUUCAAAUUUUUCUUGUGAGGAGACAGAACCAAGUAAAUUACACACUCCCCCUGACAACUGUAAUUGUAAUCACCUACAGAGAGGCAAGUAGAACUCCUUGUUCCUUUCCUAAAGAUCUGCAAUAACAGAUUAAUAAUAGCCUCAGCCUGUGAAUCCUGUUUCUGUAUCUGAUUGACUCAGGAGUCUCCUUUGAUAACCACAUGCCUGCAGAUGGUACUGUUCUGAGAAGAUCAUCAGCCUUAUCUGAGGACCUGCACUCUGGUCCUCAUACAGGUAACACCUGUACUCUGUCUCUGUGACUAGGCAGGGGUUUUAACAUCUUCAUCCUGGAAAAUUGGAGUCCUUCCCAUGGAAUGUGUGUGUUGAGCUUAGCAGAGACAGCCCUUUCCACUCUGGAGGUAAGACUGGGAAAAUUUGAGUCCAGAGCCCUCUGCUGCCUCUGGGCCCACUGCCUGUCCAAACACACCUGCAGGAGGAAAGAAGGACCUUGUUACAAACAAGAGAAGAAGAGGAGAUCAAAGCAGCUGCAUCAUCUCAUUAACCUUCACCCCCAGAGAAGAUGGCAAGGAAAACUUAGAAACAAACAAAAUCAAGCCACUCUUCCUGCCUUCAGUGGAGCUUCAAACCAGAGGAUGUUACCUGGAACACACUGGAGAGUCAUAACCUUGGAGUCGUCCUAAGUUGCUUCAGUCAUGUCCAACUCUUUGCAAACCUGUGGAAUGCAGCCCUCUGUCGGUGGGAUUCUCCAGGCAAGAAUACUGCAGUAGACCUUGCUUCUCCAGAUGUGAUCCUUGGACCAGCAGCAUCAGCAUCACCUAGGAGCUUUUAGAAAUGUCAAAUGAUGGGCCCCAUCCCAGCCCCACUGAAUCAGAAUCUGCAUUUUAUCAAGAUCCCAAGGUCCAUUUCCUGGUCUACUGCUCGUUGUCCUGCCUGUGAUGUGGAAUCACUUGAGUAGGUGACAGUGCUCUCAAAUGUCAAUCCAGAGUGUAAGAGAUGAUCAAGAUGGAGAGAAAACCCCUCGUGUGGCUGCCACCUCUAAUUCCUACACCCCCAUUUCCAAAAUUACUUAUGCUGCUCUGAUGGGCACAGAGGUGGCUUCUUAUAAGGACGUGGUUCCUUUGAGGCCCCCAGACCUCCACCAAGGACUAUGGCCAAGUACCUAGAGGAGAAGCCAGUGAAUAUUUGCAUCAGCAUAUUUUAUAUCAUAUUCCAAACACUUUGUUCUUGCCUACCCCAAAACCUAACUUUCAGAAUGGACCUGUUAGGGGAGUGUAAUCUCAUUGGUUCUGUUUCAUCACAACAAAGAUUUGAAGCGAUGGAAUUAAAGCCCUCAGCACAUGACAGCUCUUGGACAGUCUUUGUUAUAGUUCUUGGACAGACCAGUUUUAUUUAGAAAAUAAAGGAAAGUACAUCCUCGAGGUGUGAGGACUGCUGCUGCUGCUGCUAACUCACUUCAUGAGGGCAUGUUGACCCAAAAGAUGAGAAGAGAAGAGAGAGAGAACGAGAGCGCGCACAGGAGAGAAAGAG